GUGCUUGCAACUCUCUGAGAAGCUGAGAAGGCAAUAAACCUCCAUCACUCUUUAGUAUUGAAGUUCCAGAUUAUUCAAGGCACUCUGGGCACAUUUAGCAUGAGGAUGCAUUGUCAUCUUCCACAGUAAGGACUCAACAGGAGAAGCUUAAAAAUGAAAGUGGCCUUCAAAACAUGGUAUUUAGAGAUGUGUGGGCAAAAUCCCAAAGAAUCAGCUGACUAGCUGCAAGUGGUAGCCUUUGGGGAGAUAGAAGCGAGGGGAUGACAUUUCUUCAGAUGGGGGCAUAACGAAGUUUGCAGAAUCUUUUGACUUUUUUCGAGAAGAAGAGACUGAGAUGUUCUGAUAAAAGUUUAAUUUAAAAAGGAAAA
rnacentral:lncRNA from 1 species